rnacentral:rRNA from 1 species
UACGUAGGAGGCAAGCGUUGUCCGGAAUUACUGGGCGUAAAGCGCGUGUAGGUGGUGGGACAAGUCUGCUGUGAAAGCGCCUGGCUUAACCGGGCGAGGUCGGCGGAAACUGUUCGACUCGAGGACGGUAGAGGGGGGUGGAAUUCCCGGUGUAGUGGUGAAAUGCGUAGAGAUCGGGAGGAAUACCUGUGGCGAAGGCGGCCCCCUGGGCCGGCCCUGACACUGAGACGCGAAGGCGUGGGGAGCGAACGGG